GUCCACGCCCUAAACGAUGUCAACUAGCCGUUGGGUCCAUUAAAGGGCUUAGUGGCGCAGCUAACGCGAUAAGUUGACCGCCUGGGGAGUACGGCCGCAAGGUUAAAACUCAAAGGAAUUGACGGGGGCCCGCACAAGCGGUGGAGCAUGUGGUUUAAUUCGAUGCAACGCGAAGAACCUUACCAGGCCUUGACAUCCUCGGAACUUUCCAGAAAUGGAUUGGUGCCUUCGGGAGCCGAGAGACAGGUGCUGCAUGGCUGUCGU
rnacentral:rRNA from 1 species